GUUUCGAUGGCCUAGUGGUUAGAGCGUCCAUCUCGAAUACGGGAGGUCGCGGGUUAAAAUCUCGGCCUAGAUAUA